AGUGAACGCUGGCGGUAGGCCUAACACAUGCAAGUCGAACGGCAGCACAGUAAGAGCUUGCUCUUACGGGUGGCGAGUGGCGGACGGGUGAGGAAUACAUCGUAAUCUACUUUUUCGUGGGGGAUAACGUAGGGAAACUUACGCUAAUACCGCAUACGACCUACGGGUGAAAGCAGGGGAUCUUCGGACCUUGCGCGAUUGAAUGAGCCGAUGUCGGAUUAGCUAGUUGGCGGGGUAAAGGCCCACCAAGGCGACGAUCCGUAGCUGGUCUGAGAGGAUGAUCAGCCACACUGGAACUGAGACACGGUCCAGACUCCUACGGGAGGCAGCAGUGGGGAAUAUUGGACAAAGGGUGCAAGCCUGAUCCAGCCAUACCGCGUGGGUGAAGAAGGCCUUCGGGUUGUAAAGCCCUUUUGUUGGGAAAGAAAAGCAGCAGGUUAAUACCCCGCUGUUCUGACGGUACCCAAAGAAUAAGCACCGGCUAACUUCGUG
rnacentral:rRNA from 1 species